CACGUAGGGUUCAAGCGUUGUCCGGAUUCAUUGGGCGUAAAGGGCUCGUAGGCGGUUUGGUAAGUCGGGUGUGAAAACUCAGGGCUCAACCCUGAGACGCCACUCGAUACUGCCAUGACUAGAGUCCGGUAGAGGAGCACGGAAUUCCUGGUGUAGCGGUGAAAUGCGCAGAUAUCAGGAGGAACACCAGUAGCGAAGGCGGUGCUCUGGGCCGGUACUGACGCUGAGGAGCGAAAGCGUGGGGAGCGAACAGG
rnacentral:misc_RNA from 1 species